GGGUGAGUUCGAAAGAAGUUCAUGAUAGGCUUGUUUAAGAGACUUAGGGUCAAUGAAAUGUACCUUAUACUCUUGGUCUAAUUCAGAUUCUUUAGAGGUUGUAUUCGCCAUCAGACUUAUGUUGGCUUCCUCUUCUUCUUCCUCAUCAGACGAGGUAUCAUCCAGAUCCUCCCAAGUACUCAUGAGUCAUUUCUUAUCCUUGGACUUGAAUUACUUCUUCUUGUCCUUGGAUUUUUCAAGAUAUGGACAUUCAG
rnacentral:lncRNA from 1 species